UUACGGUCAUAUCAAGUUGAGACACUGGUUCUCCUAGGGUCACCGAAGAUAAGCAACGUCGAGCCGAGUCAUUACCUAGAUGAGUGACCUUUUGGGAAUACCAAGUGAUGUAAG